UCAGUGUUAGAAUGGUCACCCAGACUGCACU
rnacentral:piRNA from 1 species